rnacentral:tRNA from 1 species
GUGGUCGUAGCUCAAUGGCAGAGCAUCAGAUUGUGGAUCUGACGGUUGCGGGUUCAACUCCCGUCGAUCACC